UGGACAAUCAGCCGCCCCUCACAUCACCGGAUGGAUCCAGUAAUGGGAACCCCCCAGAGAGAUGUCCCCGUCCUCUGUAUUCUCGGGAUUACACACAGGAAGAUCAUACCAUCCCCCACCAUCAUCAGAGUGGAAACCUCGGAGAUGAUAAUAUUGAUAUUAAAGAAG